rnacentral:tRNA from 1 species
GAGGAUAUAGCUCAGUGGAAGAGCAUUUGCCUAGCAUGCUCAAGGCCUGGAUUCAAUCCUCAGUACCCCCA